UCGCGGACGUUCUCCCUCGUCGCGUCCGCAGCGCUACCGCGACUUCAACAUCGCCUAGGUGCCCCCUACUUGGUUUCAGGCCAUUGCACCAAACGCGCAUCUCCAAAGUGCCAUCGAGUUUCAUCUCACCUCACGGUGGCCAGGGAUCUUCCAAGGUUUCCUCGACCGUGUGGCGCUCGUUUUGUGCUCACGUAAGGUCAGUGAAGCUCAUCAACUUGGAAUUUUUAACUCUACUAUUUUGUGCUGACCAGAACAGAACUCCGCCGCCGUGGUUUGGCGCCGUGAAUUACCCCUGCGUCGACCCGUUAACUCGCGCCAUUUCCGGUCGAGUUCACACGCGCACUAUAGGUUUGUGAGAUCACUGAAGCUCUCUGGUAAAUGUGUUUUUGGGAUCCUUAGUGCAGUUUACAAAUUUUAAGUAAUUUAAGUGUGUUCUAAAAAGGAUUAAUUGAAUAUUUAGGGAGCAAAUGUGAGCACCAAAAAUUGUGAGAACUUUUGAGAGUCUUGUUAUCAGAAGAUAAACUCUUGGUAAAAGUUUGUGGCUGUUUGUAAGCCAUUUGCUCUGAAAUCCUUGUAGAGUCCCUAAUUGGAAUAAUAAGAAGAACAUAAUCACAUGUGGAUUAGAACUUUGGAAGAAGGAACAAGUUUAACAAGUGAAACCUGAUCUUUGGAUAAAGAAGUAAGAGUGCAUAGUGGGAUCUGGAUUUUUGGCGUAGUUUGAAGAUUGUUCUAAUCCUCUAGAAGUUCAAGUUGUAGGAUUCAAGUCAGAGAAGUAAGUCCUUACUUAAGGCAAGCAUAGAGUUCUUGGUUAUGGAGGCAGAGUUCCCUGGUGUGGUCUGAGAGCUUAGUGAUGAUAUUAGAAUGUUUAGCUCCCCUAUUGUUUGGUUAGUUUUGUGUGCACCUUUAGUAAGGUGUAGUUUGUACUGCUUUAAAGUAUUUUUGUAGUUGCAUAAGUAUAUGCAUUCAUGUUCAUAUCAUUUCAUGUAGAGCUCCCAGCAGAAGGAGUGUAAAUUCAAGAUGAAGUGGUUGUGGAAGAGGAGUUUGCUCCAGUGCCUAUUCAUCAAGUGGAUGGAGCUAUCUAACUGGUUAUUGGGUAGAAGAUCUAGAACCUCUUCUCUGCAACAAAGGCAAGCCCCGGUGCAUUUGCCACCUCCCUUGUGUUUACAAAAUUUUAUCACUUAUAUGUUGCAUUAGGUAAUAGGAGUUGAUUGAUUAAACACUUGAUGCAUUACCAUCCUUGAAAGAUUGAUUAUCAUACCUUGUCACCUGUUUUAUAAAAGCUAGAGAUGCUUAGUCAUGCUGAUAGACUAAGAAAAAUGUUUUUGAUCUAUGACUCAUGUUUUUUUACAAACAAGAAAAUGGGCUUGGGAUAAUGAAGGCAUCAAGACGUUGAUAAAUUCAUUAUCCAAGCAUGGCCCCUCUGUCAGGCGCCAAAAUUUUGAAAUAGUUUAAAAUGGGACCAGACGCUGAGCAGGAAAGGUCGCCCGUCUGUGUCGAUUAAGGACCGUACCGAUUGUUGGCCUGAUGAUCUAGGACCUUUUAACUGGCCACAUACCUCGUCAUGGGUAAGCCUGAACCCGUCUAUUCCAUACGUGAAAAGACAACCGCGCACUGGGCGUGGGAGAUGGUGGGAGUAGCAGUUACCCUCCUGGCAAGAGGCUGAAUGGUAGGGUAAUGUGCUCCCGGGUAGCGCGGAUCGGUUCAUGUAGUGGAGGAUCCGUGGGAAUGGUUGACAUAUGCAAGGGUUAAGUGCUACAUACGUCGUGUGGUUGGAGAUCCCCAGCUGGGUAUUAAUCGAUUCGGAUCGCCGUUACUUCUCGGAUAUGAAGACUGGAUCGCUGCCCUUCAUCGUAGAUAACAAGCGAAACAAAAUUUGGAUUUUAAAAGAAAGUUAGUAUAGGACAAGUGAAUGAUCUAGAUUAGGAAAUUGUUAGAUUCAGGCUAGAAGAUUCAGGUAAUAAACUAACUUGUGAAAUAAAACUUGGCUUAAGGACCCAUUUCUAGUAAGCUUUUCUGCAAAGUGAGUCCUUGAACUUUGAUGAGCUUUACCUUGAUUCCCAAAAGCCAGCAUACCCUUGAGAGUCUUUUCUUUAGUCGGGUAAGUCUUGCUGAGUAAUUGCAUACUCAGGGUUUUAUCCCUUGUUGUUUUUGUAGGAGAAGUUUUAUUCCCUUAUCUUUGGGUUAGUUACUUCAUGUGGAGGACUUGAAGCUUAGAAGGUUUUUAUAUAUCUCUUAUGGAAAGGCUUCACCCUUCCAAUUAUUGUAGUUAAGUUAUGCCCUUCGAGUACUAUCAGGACUUGUAAUAAAUACAUCUCUUUCUACCAUGUAAAACUUGAGUUCUGGAAUGUAAAGUGUACUUUGUAAAAGUCUUCCGCUCUAUCUCCAAUGUGUGUGUAUUAAAUGUGAUUACUGUAAUAUACCUGUUAUGUGGGAGAUCCUUGGGAUGAUGAGUUCCAGUUGGCGAACUCGAUAGCCUUGUUAAGUUAUCCGGUACACGUGUACAGCCAUCUUAGGCCAUUAAGGCAAGGAUUGGUGCAUGUGGGCCUGAUAACUUGGGAGGGCUGUCACAGCGUGGUAUCGGAGCGAUCCCCCAUUAUCAUGGAUAUUAAAGUAAUCCUUUGAUAGGCUUCAAAAGGAUUUUGAGUCCAAAGUAUUUUGAAAAAAAAAACUUAAGAAUGAAUAAGCAAGUCCUAAUAGUCGAAGUGCAAAUAGUAUAUGGUUAAGUUAAGGACUAUAAGGUGGCUUAGUUUAAGAUGCUAACCACUAACCCACAACUAUAAUGCAAUUUUCUGCAGGUACACUAACUAAACCCUAGGAAAGUGCGACUAGUGUUCAAUAACGGAGUGAGUAGGUAUGCCACCGUCAUAGAACGUGAUAACUACUAUAUGUUGGCAAGAGUUGCAAGGACGAAUAGGACGAGCAUGCAUCAUGACAUACAAUUUUAAGUUAAACCCCCUAUGUAAUAGCUUAGUACAUGUUUCAUCCAUCCUACUCAUGCUACCUAUCUUUGAUUUUUUUAUACUAAGUUUUCCUACUUGAAACUCAUUUCAUUUGAUUGAAAUGUAGUUUAUAAGGUACAGUUGCUAAAGGAUCUUUCCAUAGUGCACAACAUGUUUCACAUAUCUCAGUUGAAGAAAUGUCUUCGGGUUCCCAAACUGGGUGUUGAGAUUUCAGAUGUUAACCUUGGACCAGAUUUAACCAACUUGGAAUAUUCCAUAAAGGUUUUGGAUCAAAAGGAUCGGUCACUUGAAGAAAACUUAUCAAGUUUGCAGGAUGCAGUGGAACUAACACCCGGAAGAUAAAACCACAUGGGAAUUAGAGGAGUAUUUAGAUGUGAACCAGGAAGGGUACACCCCUGUCUUGUAGGGGUAAUGGGGAAAUAAGUCAGUGACACAUUUCCUUUUCCAUUACCUAGCCUAGAGUUUUAAAUCUCGGGACGAGAUUUCUUUUUAGGGGGGAAGACUGUAACACCCCUGGUGUUACGUUAACUAAAACUCUGACAUGUCAUCAUAAGCAUUUGCAUUAUCUGGUUUGAUAUACCUAGAAUGCAUUCAAUAGGUCAAACUUUUUCAAAAGUGUGAUGUUGUGUGUUGGGUUUAGAGUUUAGUUUAAGGACUAGGCCUAAGCUAGACAAGAGUAGGUCAUCUCUUGAGCAAGUAACAAAUGAACUUGGAGUCUUUGAGUGCUAAAGGCAAGUCUUAGAGUCUAUAGCAACUUUGUUUUCAAAGAUAGAUCAAGUGGAAGAAAUACUUGGACCGAAGGAUUAACUUCAAAACCCUAAGGCUUGAAUACAUUGUUUGAAAUUGAGUGUAAGCAAACAACUCUUAAACCAAGGACACUUUUGACAUGAGUUCUAUAUGCCAAGGUCGGAUUUGAGACUAAGGAGUUAUUUCUCUUAGGUGGACGAAUCACUGAAAGAAAUAAUAGCCACAUUUGAAGCCCUAAAACUAGCCCAAGAGUGGAAUUCAAAAUCUAGUGACGAUUGGCUAAAAGUCCAUAUAUUAAAGUUGUAGUACAUGGGAAAUAAAACAACUUUCUUAUUUGGAGAUUCCCAUGUUGUGUGAAGAAAAUUGGAGUAAAUCACAAAAGUUCAGUUUUGAGCUCAAAUUGGAAUUUGCUGAAAAUAGUAGCAACUAGGCAAUUUUGGUCCUUUAUAACUUCUGAUCUAUAAACAUUUUGAAGAUAGUCAUUAUAACAAAGUUAUAGAGCUACAUGAGGAGUAUAAGUUUGGUUAAGUCAUAUAGCUCUAAAACUAUUUGGAACUUGGAGUAAAACUGGUCCAAAAUAGAGCUGUCACAGAUUGUCAAAUUCAGACUUGGAGUAAAUUCAGAUUCUGAAUUUCUGUGUUCGAUGCAAACGUUGGGCUAGUGUGGUUUGGAAUCCAGGAGGUUUUGGUUAAUGACCACUAUACAAAACUUGUAAAUCCAUGAUAGUAUAACAAUUCUUAUUAAGUGAUAUAGUCCCAAAACUAUAUUUACUGGUAGAAAAGAUAGUCCAAAUGUUGAUUGACAGAUUUUUCCAGUUUUCAGACUUAAAACAGUAGUCUGAACCUGAGUUUCAGUAUUUUGAGCUGUUUUUGGAGAUCAAUUGUGCCUAAUCCAUGAGGUUUUGGGCUGUAGAAUAUAUAGAGUAAUUAAAUACCAUAUGAUGGUGAAUAAGUCUCCUUAAGUGACUUUGGUUUGAUCCUACACAAAAGUUGGAGAGAAAGCUUGCUCAAAGUUGGACUGACAGAUAGUGCUUUAACUGCAUUUGGUUCAGUUCUGAAAUCUUAAAUUUGUUGUAUGGUGCCAAGUUUGGAGCCCUUUUGUGGCUGUUUUGUAAGGUUUUAUACUAUGGUGCUUGUAGAGGAAUUAAAUACCAUAUAUUGGUGAACAACUUCCUUAAAGGGUGAUGGACAUGACCCCAUACAAGAAUUGGAGUAAGAACUGCUUAAAUUGGGACUGUGUUGUGGCUGAAACUGAAUUAUAUUCAGUUAUUGAAAACUGAAUUUCAGUGAAAGUUGCUGAGUUUGGAGCCCAUUUGCAGCUGAUUCAUGCAGUUAUAGGCUAAGAAAGCUAUACAAAGGUGGAUGAUCAUGUGUUGGUGUAUACGUUUGGUUAAGGAUUAUACCCCUAAAGCUACUUGGAACUAGGAGAAAAGGUUGCCUAAAUAUGGACUGUCAGGUUACUUGGACUGAGUUUUUGUUCAGAACUAAAAUCUGAAUUUUAGUGAAUAGUGCUCAGUUUAGAGCUCUGUUGUGAUUAAUCUAUGUGGUUUUAGACUGUAUUUUCUAUAUCAAAGUUGAAUAUCAUCUAAUAGUGAACAAGUUUCUUUAAGCCAGUGUGACGUGGUGCUGCACAAAAGUUGGAGUAAAAUGUGCCGAAAUUCUCUCUGUCAGACAUGUGUGUUCAGUCUCUUAUUCAGUUAGCUGCAGCUGGUUCCUAGUGUAUUCACCUCACUCUGGAGCGUUAUAACUUUUGAUCUAUGAAUCUUUGACCUAAGGUUCCUGAAGUAAACUUGUAAAGUUACAUUUUGUGAACAAACUUUAUUAACCAAGGUUGACAUGUAUUGCUUGGAAUCAUGAGGAUCGAAGGGGUUACAAAUGAGGGUUCAGUUUGGUGCCAAAUUCAGUUCAGAUUCUGAAACGUAUUCAGUUUUGCUGAAUUUUUAGAAACCAUGUAUUCCUUUCAGUGUUGGACCCUUCUAACUCUUAAUUCUUGGUGAAUGACCAUUACAUCAAACUUGGAGAUCUAUUAUGGAGGAAUACUUCUUAUGAUGAAGGAUCUCCCUGUUCUUAUUUUAGAUUAGAAGAAAACUUUGCUCCAAGUCGAGCUGUUGGGCUGGUGGUGGACUGAAUAUUGUUCAGCUGACUGAAACCGGUUCAAUUUUAGUGAGAAAAAGAUCUCCAUGCCACUGAUGUUUAUCCUGUACAUGUGCUCAGUUCUCUAAAUUUUUCUCCUUUGUUCCACUCGUUCUUAUCCAAUAUCUAGUACACGUACUCCCUGGAAGUCUCUCCGUGCGUUGUCUCAUCUCCAGAAAUCCACGUGCAGCCCUGAGCAGUGAGCACUAGCUUCUCCACGUCAUAUAUCCCCUCACCCCAUCGCUUAGGCAGCAGCAGCCGAGCUCCCUUCUCGUAGUGCCCCUCGCAUUCCUGUUCUCAGCCCGCUCUCCUCUCUGCUCGGUCUCCCCAGUACUUGCCUCACCUGGACACGUCGUUCUGUUGUUACCACUUGCCAGUCACGAUCUCUUCCUUCCUGGAGUUUGCGUGUUGGGAGUCCGUGGAUCAUGGCUGAAACUGCACGCGUUCUCGUCUCCUUCUCUGGCACAUCAUUGUGUGGAGCUGCUGAACGCCACUGUCUCUAGCUCCUGUAUCGUCGUGCCGGCGCUCGGCUCCCCAACUUCGCUGUUGCCUACUGGACCUGCUGCUCUCUCUGCAACAGCUCGUCGGCUCCCUAGAAAUUCCCCAGCCGUCGCCUGCCUUCUCGCGGACGUUCUCCCUCGUCGCGUCCGCAGCGCUACCGCGACUUCAACAUCGCCCAGGUGCCCCCUACUCGGUUUCAGGCCAUUGCACCAAACGCGCAUCUCCAAAGUGCCAUCGAGUUUCAUCUCACCUCACGGUGGCCAGGGAUCUUCCAAGGUUUCCUCGACCGUGUGGCGCUCGUUUUGUGCUCACGUAAGGUCAGUGAAGCUCAUCAACUUGGAAUUUUUAACUCUACUAUUUUGUGCUGACCAGAACAGAACUCCGCCGCCGUGGUUUGGCGCCGUGAAUUACCCCUGCGUCGACCCGUUAACUCGCGCCAUUUCCGGUCGAGUUCACACGCGCACUAUAGGUUUGUGAGAUCACUGAAGCUCUCUGGUAAAUGUGUUUUUGGGAUCCUUAGUGCAGUUUACAAAUUUUAAGUAAUUUAAGUGUGUUCUAAAAAGGAUUAAUUGAAUAUUUAGGGAGCAAAUGUGAGCACCAAAAAUUGUGAGAACUUUUGAGAGUCUUGUUAUCAGAAGAUAAACUCUUGGUAAAAGUUUGUGGCUGUUUGUAAGCCAUUUGCUCUGAAAUCCUUGUAGAGUCCCUAAUUGGAAUAAUAAGAAGAACAUAAUCACAUGUGGAUUAGAACUUUGGAAGAAGGAACAAGUUUAACAAGUGAAACCUGAUCUUUGGAUAAAGAAGUAAGAGUGCAUAGUGGGAUCUGGAUUUUUGGCGUAGUUUGAAGAUUGUUCUAAUCCUCUAGAAGUUCAAGUUGUAGGAUUCAAGUCAGAGAAGUAAGUCCUUACUUAAGGCAAGCAUAGAGUUCUUGGUUAUGGAGGCAGAGUUCCCUGGUGUGGUCUGAGAGCUUAGUGAUGAUAUUAGAAUGUUUAGCUCCCCUAUUGUUUGGUUAGUUUUGUGUGCACCUUUAGUAAGGUGUAGUUUGUACUGCUUUAAAGUAUUUUUGUAGUUGCAUAAGUAUAUGCAUUCAUGUUCAUAUCAUUUCAUGUAGAGCUCCCAGCAGAAGGAGUGUAAAUUCAAGAUGAAGUGGUUGUGGAAGAGGAGUUUGCUCCAGUGCCUAUUCAUCAAGUGGAUGGAGCUAUCUAACUGGUUAUUGGGUAGAAGAUCUAGAACCUCUUCUCUGCAACAAAGGCAAGCCCCGGUGCAUUUGCCACCUCCCUUGUGUUUACAAAAUUUUAUCACUUAUAUGUUGCAUUAGGUAAUAGGAGUUGAUUGAUUAAACACUUGAUGCAUUACCAUCCUUGAAAGAUUGAUUAUCAUACCUUGUCACCUGUUUUAUAAAAGCUAGAGAUGCUUAGUCAUGCUGAUAGACUAAGAAAAAUGUUUUUGAUCUAUGACUCAUGUUUUUUUACAAACAAGAAAAUGGGCUUGGGAUAAUGAAGGCAUCAAGACGUUGAUAAAUUCAUUAUCCAAGCAUGGCCCCUCUGUCAGGCGCCAAAAUUUUGAAAUAGUUUAAAAUGGGACCAGACGCUGAGCAGGAAAGGUCGCCCGUCUGUGUCGAUUAAGGACCGUACCGAUUGUUGGCCUGAUGAUCUAGGACCUUUUAACUGGCCACAUACCUCGUCAUGGGUAAGCCUGAACCCGUCUAUUCCAUACGUGAAAAGACAACCGCGCACUGGGCGUGGGAGAUGGUGGGAGUAGCAGUUACCCUCCUGGCAAGAGGCUGAAUGGUAGGGUAAUGUGCUCCCGGGUAGCGCGGAUCGGUUCAUGUAGUGGAGGAUCCGUGGGAAUGGUUGACAUAUGCAAGGGUUAAGUGCUACAUAUGUCGUGUGGUUGGAGAUCCCCAGCUGGGUAUUAAUCGAUUCGGAUCGCCGUUACUUCUCGGAUAUGAAGACUGGAUCGCUGCCCUUCAUCGUAGAUAACAAGCGAAACAAAAUUUGGAUUUUAAAAGAAAGUUAGUAUAGGACAAGUGAAUGAUCUAGAUUAGGAAAUUGUUAGAUUCAGGCUAGAAGAUUCAGGUAAUAAACUAACUUGUGAAAUAAAACUUGGCUUAAGGACCCAUUUCUAGUAAGCUUUUCUGCAAAGUGAGUCCUUGAACUUUGAUGAGCUUUACCUUGAUUCCCAAAAGCCAGCAUACCCUUGAGAGUCUUUUCUUUAGUCGGGUAAGUCUUGCUGAGUAAUUGCAUACUCAGGGUUUUAUCCCUUGUUGUUUUUGUAGGAGAAGUUUUAUUCCCUUAUCUUUGGGUUAGUUACUUCAUGUGGAGGACUUGAAGCUUAGAAGGUUUUUAUAUAUCUCUUAUGGAAAGGCUUCACCCUUCCAAUUAUUGUAGUUAAGUUAUGCCCUUCGAGUACUAUCAGGACUUGUAAUAAAUACAUCUCUUUCUACCAUGUAAAACUUGAGUUCUGGAAUGUAAAGUGUACUUUGUAAAAGUCUUCCGCUCUAUCUCCAAUGUGUGUGUAUUAAAUGUGAUUACUGUAAUAUACCUGUUAUGUG
rnacentral:lncRNA from 1 species